rnacentral:rRNA from 1 species
GACGAACGCUGGCGGCGUGCUUAACACAUGCAAGUCGAACGGUGAACCAGGGCUUGCCCUGGGGAUCAGUGGCGAACGGGUGAGUAACACGUGGGCAACCUGCCCCUGACUCUGGGAUAACUCCUCGAAAGAGGUGCUAAUACCGGAUACGACCACUUCGGGCAUCCGAUGGUGGUGGAAAGAAUUUUGGUCAGGGAUGGGCCCGCGGCCUAUCAGCUUGUUGGUGGGGUAACGGCCCACCAAGGCGACGACGGGUAGCCGGCCUGAGAGGGCGACCGGCCACACUGGGACUGAGACACGGCCCAGACUCCUACGGGAGGCAGCAGUGGGAAAUAUUGCGCAAUGGGCGAAAGCCUGACGCAGCGACGCCGCGUGAGGGACGACGGCCUCGGGUUGUAACCUCUUUCUAGCAGGACGAAGCGAAAGUGACGGUACCUGCAGAGAAGACACCGGCUAACUACGUGCCAGCAGCCGCGGUAA